AAUCAACGCUGGCGGCGUGCCUCAGACAUGCAAGUCGAACGAUUAAGACUCUCUUCGGAGAGUGUAUAAAGUGGCGCACGGGUGAGUAACACGUAGGUAAUGUGCCUUUGGGUGGGGAAUAACUUAGGGAAACUUAAGCUAAUACCGCAUAAUGCAGCGGCUCGACAUCGAGACAGUUGUUAAAGAUUUAUCGCCUAAAGAGCAGCCUGCGGCAGAUUAGCUAGUUGGUAAGGUAAUGGCUUACCAAGGCGACGAUCCGUAUCCGACCUGAGAGGGUGGUCGGACACACUGACACUGAAUAACGGGUCAGACUCCUACGGGAGGCAGCAGUCGGGAAUUUUGGGCAAUGGGCGAAAGCCUGACCCAGCAACGCCGCGUGAAGGAUGAAGUAUUUCGGUAUGUAAACUUCGUAAGAAUAGGAAGAAUAAAUGACGGUACUAUUUGUAAGGUCCGGCUAACUACGUGCCAGCCGCCGCAGUAAUAC
rnacentral:rRNA from 1 species